rnacentral:rRNA from 1 species
AUGCAAGCGGCGCCAUGCAUGAAGACUACAUAUAUUCAUUUUUUGUUAGUUAGCAUGGCUCCUCCACUGAUUUUGCUCAAGGUGUUCAUUGUUCUCGAGUUUACUAAAUGUGAUUAUUGGGGCAGGCGAGGUUUGUCAGCAAAUUCAGUUUGUUCCUGUGUUGUGUUUCCAACUAUACUUUGUGCAUUUACCCGAGGGCAUCUUGUUUUGGUCCUUCAUCACACGGUGAUAACAGACAGGAUGCUUGAGGAGCAAGCACGAUCCGUCAAAGUCGAGCACGACGGAUGGAGUCGCGGUCACAGUGACGCUCUCAGAGAACCAAAAUGCUUCUGUGGACCAUUCAUUUCUUCUGUAGAUUAA